rnacentral:rRNA from 1 species
AAUCAACGCUGGCGGCGUGCCUAAUACAUGCAAGUCGAACGCGAAAGUCCCGCAAGGGGGCAAGUAGAGUGGCAAACGGGUGAGUAACGCGUGGGCGACCUACCUUCGAGUGGGGAGUAACCUUCCGAAGGAGGGCUAAUACCGCAUGACAUCCCGUGUUUGGAUACACGGACAUCAAAGUCGGGGAUCGCAAGACCUGACGCUUGGAGAGGGGCCCGCGUCCGAUUAGCUAGUUGGUGGGGUAACGGCCCACCAAGGCUUCGA